GGGGAUGUGGCUCAGUGGUAGAGCACUUGCCUUACAUGUGUGAGUCUCUGGGUUCGAUUCUCAGCACCA
rnacentral:tRNA from 1 species